UGUCAAAUAUUUUUAAUUUAUGUAGUAUUGUAUAAAUCUUAGAUUAAAUUACUGGUCAAUUUUACAAAUUUGUUUUUGUACCCUUGCCAAUUUGAUUGAAUUCAAAUUAAACACGUAACCAAAUUAUAAAAACUUUUAGUAAGUUCAAAAGCAGCAAAGAUGCCCUUUCAUGUGCUGGAACCUAGUAUGUUAAGGAUGGGGCGCUCAAUUCCAGCCAGUAGAAUUACGACGGAGGACCUUAAACAUCGCUUACUUGCUCUUCAGACACGAGUCACUGAAUGGAAGUCUGUCCAGAAGAAGGAUACUGAUCUGAAUUUAAGUUUAUGGAAAUUUCAACUGGCCGAAUUUUAGUUUAGGACAUUAUGAAACAAUUAUAUCUGCAUACAAAAUGCUAUAAAAUUCUGUCAAUAUAGCUAGUCACAAGUUAAAUAUUGUUGGCUUGGCUUGUUCGUCUUUUAUUUUUAAAAUCCGAAGUCUAUCAUUCUUAGGAAAAUGUGCUGAUAAAGUAAAUUUAACACGCACCGCGUAAUUUUCUUUUUGCGUUCUGUCGCCUGCGAAAUUGAGCAAUUUAAUUAUACUCGUAUGGAAAAAUAAUGAUGAUGCCUCUGCACAUUCUCCGGAAAGCCAUUCCAGAUUGGAACCGCAGACACCGUGAGCAACAACAAUUGCGAUAUAAAAAGAAAAAAAAAAACAAAAUAUAUGUUUAAUGUCCAUAAUAAAAUGUAAAAACAAAAAGAUUGGCUUGCCCGUUAUCAAAGGAAAGAAAUUAAUUGGUAUUUAUGCCAAAAAUUAACAAUUAUGACAAUAAAAUUCAUUCUGUUUACUAUAGGAAUAUUCGAAUUGUAAUGUUAAAUUUAUCGUGGCCAUAAAUAUUUGCAAACAAAGGUUUAAAAUAAUGUUAUGUAUUUGAUAAUUAUAAAAAAAUAAUGG